rnacentral:RNase_MRP_RNA from 1 species
CUGAUAAAUUGCUUUCGCAGCAAACAAAAAUGUCUCUUGCAAGACAAACCAAUACCCAAAACUGUGGGGAAAGUCCUCCUGCAAACAAGGUAGAAAGUACCUGUUUUGAUUAACGGGGUACCGCUAUGGUCUGUCGAAGAAGGGGUCAAAUCCUGAGACAUAAGGCCUGGUGAGUUCUCUUAUCAGUAUCAAAGUCAUGCAAUUAAUACUUGUUCUUUUUAAGGGCUUGUAUCAACACAAGGGGGCUUAUAUU